rnacentral:lncRNA from 1 species
CCCCAUUGAGCCAAAUAUUGAUCCACUUAAUGUGUUUAUCCUUCCAAAUUGCAUCAUGGGGAUUAUGUUAUCACUUACUCUUCCAUGAUUUUGAAGGAUCGAGAUUAGUGGUGGAUGCAACCUAUCCAUAGUCCCAAGAGUGCACGACCUUUUCCUUGAUCCACUAACUUCAAUGUUUUCAUCUUCUUCUUCAACAUGUGGAAGUUGAACCUCUUCCCUCACUUCCCCACUUCCCCACUUUCUCAUUAUGCUUAUUUCUUUCUUUCUUCUUCAUUUUUGCUUCUUCUAAAGUGGUUUUACAUUUUGCUUUAUCCUCAUCCGAAGACUUUGUGCACCCGGAUACAAUUCCCUUGAUGUUAGCUAUAGUUGUUUCAUUCUAAAAGCUCCACCACUGACUAUUUUAUUACACAACUUACAUUGCACCUUAUCCGAGUUUAAAGGAUCUAAUAACACUCCAUAUUCCCUGCCCACAUCGUUUGAAGCACGCUUUAAUGGAUUAUAUGAUUGGGAGCGACAUUGCAUUAGAUGCUCCAUAUGAUGUAGUGCCUGCCAAAAUUAAAAUUUCAUUAUCACAUUCAUUCACUAGAAUCACUACAAUUAAAAUUUCAUUAUCAAAUUCACUUAAACAUAUUUAUACUAUUUAAUAUUUAUACAAACAAAGUUACAAAUGUCAUAUCCCUACAAAAGGUGCACAGAAUCUACAGGUACUUCAAUACUUAAAUAAAUCCAUUAAUCAUUAUCAAAUGCAUAAAUAUCAUAUCCCUAAUACAAAUGAAGAUCAGAGUGAAGCCACCCACGGGAAUUCCUAAGCUUAUAUAAUGGCAAACCAUGAUGCCUUAUGUUGAUGCACAAAAUCAGUGGGGACUUUGGUACAACAGAAAGUGUCAAGUUUGUGACCUUCACUAAAUUGCUCCGGUCACUAGUGUGGAUAAGUAUGUAAAUAGAUAGGGAUAAGGAAGCAAACACAAGAUGUACGUGGUUCACCCAGAUUGGCUAUGUCUAUGGAGUAGAGGAGUUCUCAUUAAUUGUGAAGGGUUUACACAAGUACAUAUGUUCAAACUCUCCUUUUGUGAGUACUAGUGAAUGAUUUAGUACCAAUGACAUUUGGAAAUAUUGUGGGCGAAUGAUCUCCUUUUAUAGAAGAGAGUUUCUAGCUUUUUUUUUACAUUGACACGUGUCGUGUUGUGAUUGGCUU